rnacentral:rRNA from 1 species
CAGGCCUAACACAUGCAAGUCGAACGGUGAUGCAGGAGCUUGCUUCUGCGGAUCAGUGGCGAACGGGUGAGUAACACGUGAGUAAUCUGCCCCUGACUCUGGGAUAAGCGCUGGAAACGGCGUCUAAUACCGGAUACGACCAUCGAAGGCAUCUUCUGGUGGUGGAAAGAAUUUCGGUCUGGGAUGAACUCGCGGCCUAUCAGCUUGUUGGUGAGGUAAUGGCUCACCAAGGCGACGACGGGUAGCCGGCCUGAGAGGGUGACCGGCCACACUGGGACUGAGACACGGCCCAGACUCCUACGGGAGGCAGCAGUGGGGAAUAUUGCACAAUGGGCGCAAGCCUGAUGCAGCAACGCCGCGUGAGGGAUGACGGCCUUCGGGUUGUAAACCUCUUUUGUCAGGGAAGAAGCGAAAGUGACGGUACCUGGAGAAAAAGCACCGGCUAACUACGUGCCAGCAGCCGCGGUAAU